rnacentral:rRNA from 1 species
UACGUAGGGUGCGAGCGUUAAUCGGAAUUACUGGGCGUAAAGCGUGCGCAGGCGGUUUUGUAAGACAGAUGUGAAAUCCCCGGGCUCAACCUGGGACCUGCAUUUGUGACUGCAAGGCUGGAGUACGGCAGAGGGGGAUGGAAUUCCGCGUGUAGCAGUGAAAUGCGUAGAUAUGCGGAGGAACACCGAUGGCGAAGGCAAUCCCCUGGGCCUGUACUGACGCUCAUGCACGAAAGCGUGGGGAGCAAACAGG